rnacentral:piRNA from 1 species
UAAACAGUGAGUGCUGUACGGGGAACAGA